rnacentral:rRNA from 1 species
UACGUAGGUGGCAAGCGUUGUCCGGAUUUAUUGGGUUUAAAGGGUGCGUAGGCGGUUCCUUAAGUCAGUGGUGAAAUACUUCAGCUCAACUGGAGAGGUGCCAUUGAUACUGGGGAACUUGAGUACUGAUGAGGUAGGCGGAAUGGACGGUGUAGCGGUGAAAUGCUUAGAUAUCGUCCAGAGCACCGAUAGCGAAGGCAGCUUACUAAGGAGUAACUGACGCUGAGGCACGAAAGUGUGGGGAGCGAACAGG